rnacentral:rRNA from 1 species
GACGAACGCUGGCGGCGUGCUUAACACAUGCAAGUCGAACGGUAAGGCCCUUCGGGGUACACGAGUGGCGAACGGGUGAGUAACACGUGGGUGAUCUGCCCUGCACUUCGGGAUAAGCCUGGGAAACUGGGUCUAAUACCGGAUAGGACCCUGGGAUGCAUGUCCUGGGGUGGAAAGCUUUUGCGGUGGGGGAUGGGCCCGCGGCCUAUCAGCUUGUUGGUGGGGUGAUGGCCUACCAAGGCGACGACGGGUAGCCGGCCUGAGAGGGUGACCGGACACACUGGGACGGGGAUACGGCCCAGACUCCUACGGGAGGCAGCAGUGGGGAAGAUUGCACGAUGGGCGCAAGCCUGAUGCAGCGACGCCGCGUGAGGGAUGACGGCCUUCGGGUUGUAAACCUCUUUCAGCACCGACGAAGCGCAAGUGACGGUAGGUGCAGAAGAAGGACCGGCCAACUACGUGCCAGCCGCCGCGGUAA